rnacentral:rRNA from 1 species
GAUGAACGCUGGCUACAGGCUUAACACAUGCAAGUCGAGGGGAAACGCCGGGGAAGCUUGCUUCCCCGGGCGUCGACCGGCGCACGGGUGAGUAACGCGUAUCCAACCUGCCUCUGACUGAGGGAUAACCCGUCGAAAGUCGGCCUAAUACCUCAUGGUAUCGUCUGCGGGCAUCCAACGACGAUUAAAGAUUUCAUCGGUCAGGGAUGGGGAUGCGUCUGAUUAGCUUGCUGGCGGGGUAACGGCCCACCAAGGCUACGAUCAGUAGGGGUUCUGAGAGGAAGGUCCCCCACAUUGGAACUGAGACACGGGCCAAACUCCUACGGGAGGCAGCAGUGAGGAAGAUUGGUCAAUGGGCGAGAGCCUGAACCAGCCAAGUAGCGUGCAGGAAGACGGCCCUAUGGGUUGUAAACUGCUUUUAUGCGGGGAUAAAGUGAGGGACGUGUCCCUCAUUGCAGGUACCGCAUGAAUAAGGACCGGCUAAUUCCGUG